rnacentral:rRNA from 1 species
AUUCCAGCUCCAAUAGCGUAUAUUAAAGUUGUUGCAGUUAAAAAGCUCGUAGUCGGAUUUUGGCAUCACGCCGAACUGUCUGCCGAUUGGUAAGUACGGUUUGGCGGGUGCUUCCUUCCGGAGGCUCGUUCCCUUCUUCAUUGAAGGGUUCGUUGGUUCCGGGUCUUUUACUUUGAGAAAAUUAGAGUGUUCAAAGCAGGCCUAUGCUCUGAAUAGGUUAGCAUGGAAUAAUAGAAUAGGACUUUGGUUCUAUUUUGUUGGCUUCUAGGACCGAAGUAAUGAUUAACAGGGACAGUCAGGGGCACUCGUAUUCCGCCGAGAGAGGUGAAAUUCUCAGACCAGCGGAAGACGAACCACUGCGAAAGCAUUUGCCAGGGAUGUUUUCAUCA